rnacentral:rRNA from 1 species
UACGAAGGGGGCUAGCGUUGCUCGGAAUCACUGGGCGUAAAGGGUGCGUAGGCGGGUCUUUUAAGUCAGGGGUGAAAUCCUGGAGCUCAACUCCAGAACUGCCUUUGAUACUGAGGAUCUUGAGUUCGGGAGAGGUGAGUGGAACUGCGAGUGUAGAGGUGAAAUUCGUAGAUAUUCGCAAGAACACCAGUGGCGAAGGCGGCUCACUGGCCCGAUACUGACGCUGAGGAGCGAAAGCGUGGGGAGCAAAGCAGG